rnacentral:rRNA from 1 species
CGUGUAGGCGGUAAUACAAGUCAGAUGUGAAAUACUGUGGCUCAACCACAGAACGGCAUCUGAAACUGUAUUUCUUGAGUACUGGAGAGGAAAGCGGAAUUCCUAGUGUAGCGGUGAAAUGCGUAGAUAUUAGGAGGAACACCGGUGGCGAAGGCGGCUUUCUGGACAGUAACUGACGCUGAGACGCGAAAGCGUGGGGAGCAAACAGGAUUAGAUACCCUGGUAGUCC